UGUUUGUCAAGAAAUCUUCUUAUUUUUACAUUUUAUUUUGGAGCGAAUUGGUCGCUAAAUCUUAUUUUUUGGAAUUUUAUGUUAGCGUCUAAUAUAUAAGUUUGGUAGAUGUAGAAAUAACUAAUGAAUAUUUUUUUAAUAAUGUAAAUGUUUAGAGGCCCGUAAGUAAAACUUUAAAACCAAAUCAUGCAAUUUGUGGUAGAAGGAAGUUAUUAUAGAAAUGGAAAAACGUAAAUGAAAGGUGAGUAAAUCAAGUGUCAUGAAGAGGAAGAUGCUUGCAGACUGAACAUGGUAAUUUGUGAACGGCUGUGGUAUCACAUAACAAAACGGAUGAUUUUAUCACUCUGUUUGUAAUGGAAUAAUUAGGACAUCUCUCAAGUAGGUUAUCGGUAUGGCAACGUCUUGGGGGUAUGACGAGAAUCAUGUUCUUUCCGUAGGCUUUCUCCCGGUUACCUUUGAUCAGAUCUCCGGUGGAACAUUUCCCUUUUCCCUUGUCUAUUUUUUUUUUAACAUGAACUUUUUUUUUUGUGAUCGUUCAGUGUAACAAUAAAAUGAUCCCUAAGUUCACAAAUGAUGGUUAUAAAUAGGAGGGAGCAUGAAGUAUAGCGAGUUGUCAGGAAAUUGAACAGCUUCUUUGUAAAGUUGGGGGUUUAAGGGCUGGGUUGGAAGGGUAACAGUUAUGAUAGAAAAAAGUUUCUGUAAACAGGUGUUGAACAACAGAUCAUGCUUUGGUCGUAUAGUUCAUUAGCAUUGCUUCGAUUGUAUACGGUAUUCUGAUUCCAACUGUACGAAGGCAUAGCCAAUUAUGUUUGAACC
rnacentral:lncRNA from 1 species